GUUGAACGCUGGCGGCAGGCCUAACACAUGCAAGUCGGGCGAGCGGAGGACGGGCGAGUCAUGUAUUGGGAUCUGCCUGAUGGAGGGGGAUAACUCGUGGAAACGGUAGCUAAUACCGCAUACAGUCCGAUGAACCCAUAUGGGAUUAGCUUGUAGGUGAGGUAACGGCUCACAUCGGCGACGAUCCAUAGCUGGUCUGAGAGGAUGAUCAGCCAACCUGGGACUGAGACACGGCCCAGACGCCUACGGGAGGCAGCAGUGGGGAAUAUUGCACAAUGGGCGCAAGCCUGAGCGAGCCAUGCCGCGUGUAUGAAGAAGGUUUUCGGGUUGUAAAGUACUUUCAGUAGGGAGGCGGUACCGAACGAAGAAGCAACGGCUAACUCCGUGCCAGCCGCCGCGGUAAUUC
rnacentral:rRNA from 1 species